rnacentral:rRNA from 1 species
AAAUUGAAGAGUUUGAUCAUGGCUCAGAUUGAACGCUGGCGGCAGGCCUAACACAUGCAAGUCGAACGGUAACAGGAAGAAGCUUGCUUCUUUGCUGACGAGUGGCGGACGGGUGAGUAAUGUCUGGGAAACUGCCUGAUGGAGGGGGAUAACUACUGGAAACGGUAGCUAAUACCGCAUAACGUCGCAAGACCAAAGAGGGGGACCUUCGGGCCUCUUGCCAUCGGAUGUGCCCAGAUGGGAUUAGCUAGU